CGGUGUCUCUGGCAUGUGCUUCUGGCACGUCUGAGAGGUGGUUCCAGCAUGCCCAGCAGGUGAUUCCGGAAAGUCCGCCAAGUGGUUCCGGCCUACCCGGCAGGUGGCUCAGGCAUGUCCGGCAGGUGGUUCUGGGGAGUGGAUCAGGUGGUUCCAGCAUGCUCGGCAGGUGCUUCCGGUGUCUCUGGCAUGUGCUUCUGGCACGUCUGAGAGGUGGUUCCAGCAUGCCCAGCAGGUGAUUCCGGAAAGUCCGCCAAGUGGUUCCGGCCUACCCGGCAGGUGGCUCAGGCAUGUCCGGCAGGUGGUUCUGGGGAGUGGAUCAGGUGGUUCCGGCAUGCUCGGCAGGUGCUUCCAGCAUCUCCGGCAUGUGCUUCUGGCACGUCUGAGAGAUGGUUCCGGCAUGCUCGGCAGGUGAUUCCGGAGUGUUAGCCAAGUGGUUCUGGCGUAUCCGGCAGGUGAUUUUUACGUGUCCGGCACAUGGUUCUGUGGAGUGAAUCAGGUGGUUCUGGCAUGCUCAGCAGGUGCUUCCGGCGUCUCCGGUAUGUGGUUCUGGCACGUUUGAGAGAUGGUUCCAGCAUGCCCGGCAGGUGAUUCCGGAGUGUCCGACAAGUGGUUCUGGUGUAGCCUGCUGGGGAUUUUGGGGUUUCUGGCAGGUGGUUCUGGCGAGUCGAGCAGCUGGUUCCUGCGUGUCAGCUGUUGGUUCAGGCGGGUCCGGCAAGUGGUUUCCGUCUGUCCGGGAUUUGGUUUCGGUGUCUCAGGCACAUGGUUCUGGCACGUCUUAGACGUGGUUCCGGCAUGCCCGGCAGGUGAUCGCGGAGAGUCUGACAUGUGGUUCCGGCAUAGCCGGCUGGUGAUUUUGGCGUGUCCGGCAGCUGGUUCUGGCGAGUCGAGCAGGUGGUUCCGGCGAGCUUGGCAGGUGCUUCUGGCGUCUCCAGCACAUGGUUCUGGCACGUUUGAGAGGUGGUUACGGCAUGCCCCAUAGGUGAUUCCAGAGUGUAUGGCAAGUGGCUCUGGCGUAGCUGCAGGUGAUUUUGGCGUGUCCGGCAGGUGGUUCUGGCAAGUCGAGCAGGUGGUUCCGGCGAGCUCGGCAGGUGCUUCCAGCAUCUCCGGCAUGAGGUUCUGGCACGUCUAGAGAUGGUUCCGGCAUGCCCGGCAGGUGAUUCCGGAAGUGUCCGACAAGUGAUUCUGGUGCAGCCGGCAGGUGAUUUUGGCUGUCCGGUAGGUGGGUCCUGCGAGUCGAGCAGGUGGUUCCGGCGUGCUUGGCAGGUGGUUCCAGCGUGUCUGGCAGGUGGUUCCAGAAUUUCCAGGACGUGGUUCUGUAAUGCCCGGCAGGUGAUUCCGAACUGUCCUCCAUGUGGUUCUGGCAUAGCCGGCAGGUGAUCUUGGCAUGUCUGGCAGGUGGUUCUGGCGAGUCGAGCAGGUGGUUCCGGCGUACUCGGCAGGUGGUUCCAGUCUCUCAGGGAGGUGGUUCCGGCGUGUCCGGCACGUGGUUCCAGUACGUCUGAGAGGUGGUUCCGGCAGGCCCGACAGGUGAUUCCAGAGUGUCCGCCAAGUGGUUCUGGCGUAGCCGCCAGGUGAUUUCGGCGUGUCCGGCACGUGGGUACGGCCCGUCUGAGAGGUGGUUCUGGCAUGCCCGUCAGGUGAUUCCAGAGUGUCCGCCAAGUGGUUCUGGCGUAGCCGCCAGGUGAUUUCGGCGUGUCCAGCACGUGGGUACGGCCCCUCUGAGAGGUGGUUCCGGCAUGCCCGUCAGGUGAUUCUGGAGUGUCCACCAAGUGGUUCUGGCGUACCGGCAGGUGAUUUUUGCGUCUCCGGUAGGUGGUUCUGUGGAGUUCAUCAGGUGGUUCUGGCAUGCUCGGCAGGUACUUCCGGCAUCUCUGGUAUGUGGUUCUGGCAUGUUUGAGAUGUGGUUCCGGCAUGCCCGGCAGGUGAUUCCAGAGU
rnacentral:lncRNA from 1 species